AGCUUCCUAUCACGCUUCACUAACGAGAUAACGUACUGUGUGCAAGUCACCGACCGUGAAGUGUUAUCUGCACUGAGAGGAGGCUUGAACAUGAACACCCUGUUUUGGAUGGACGUGCAAAAUCAAGACCCCACCACCUAUGAGGCCCUACUCGAGAUGAUGAGAUGGGAGAUCAUCAAUGAAGAAUUGAUUGAGCAUAGGAAUAGGGCAAGUAGAU
rnacentral:lncRNA from 1 species